rnacentral:rRNA from 1 species
AUUGGACGCUGGCGGCGUGCUUAACACAUGCAAGUCGGUCGGUAACAGGUGUAGCAAUACAUGCUGACGAGAGGCGGACGGGUGAGGAAUAUUUGGGAAUCUGCCCAUCAGCGGGGGACAACCCGGGGAAACCCGGGCUAAUACCGCAUACGCUCUACGGAGGAAAGCCGGGGACCGCAAGGCCUGGCACUGAUGGAUGAGCCCAAAUCGGAUUAGCUAGUUGGCGGGGUAACGGCCCACCAAGGCGACGAUCCGUAGCUGGACUGAGAGGACGAUCAGCCACACCGGAACUGAGACACGGUCCGGACUCCUACGGGAGGCAGCAGUGGGGAAUAUUGGACAAUGGGGGAAACCCUGAUCCAGCGACGCCGCGUGGGUGAAGAAGGCCUGCGGGUUGUAAAGCCCUUUCGGUAGGGACGAAAGCUCUUGCUCUAACAAAGCAGGAGGUUGACUUAACCUACAUAAGAAGCACCGGCUAACUCUGUGCCAGCAGCCGCCGUAAGAC